rnacentral:rRNA from 1 species
UACGGAGGGGGCAAGCGUUGUUCGGAGUUACUGGGCGUAAAGCGCGCGUAGGCGGUGCGGUAAGUCAGGGGUUAAAGGCUGCAGCUCAACUGCAGUAAGGCCUUUGAUACUAUCGCGCUAGAGUACCAGAGAGGAUGGCGGAAUUCCCGGUGUAGCGGUGAAAUGCGUAGAUAUCGGGAGGAAGGCCUGUGGCGAAGGCGGCCCUCUGGGCCUGCACUGACACUGAGGCGCGAAAGCGUGGGGAGCAAACAGG